AUGUAGCACCUGUCCCCCCAGGCUAAGCCCUCCAACCCCAGUAAUCCCUGGGUCUUCUUUGACGUGGACAUCGGAGGGGAGUGAAUCCGGAGUUGGUCGAAUUGUCUUAGAAUUGUUUGCAGAUAUCGUACCCAAAACUGCAGAAAAUUUUCGUGCAUUAUGUACAGGAGAAAAAGGGAUUGGAUCUAUGACUGGGAAACCUCUCUAUUUCAAAGGAUGCCCUUUCCAUCGAAUUAUUAAAAAAUUUAUGAUUCAGGGUGGAGAUUUCUCAAAUUAGGAUGGAACCGGUGGAGAAAGUAUUUAUGGUGAAAAAUUUGAAGAUGAAAAUUUCUAUUAUAAGCAUGAUCGCAAGGGUUUAUUGAGCAUGGCAAAUGUAGGCCGAAAUACAAAUGGUUCUUUAUCACAACAGUUCCAACUCCUCAUUUGGAUGGGAAACAUGUGGUGUUUGGCCAAGUAAUUAAAGGAAUAGGUAUGGCAAGGAUAGUGGAAAACGUAGAAGUACAAGGUGAAAAACCUGCCAAAUUGUGAAUUAUUGCAGAAUGUGGAGAAUUGAAGGAAGGGGAUGAUUGGGGAAUAUUCCCCAAAGAUGGCUCUGGCGACAGUCAUCCAGAUUUCCCUGAGGAUGCAGAUAUUGAUUUAAAGGAUGUAGCUAAAAUUUUAUUAAUAACAGAAGACUUAAAAAACAUUGGAAAUAAUCUUUUCAAAGCCCAGAACUGGGAGAUGGCCAUUAAAAAAUAUGCAAAAGUUUUAAGGUACGUGGAUGGUUCAAAGGCUGUUAUUGAGAAAGCUGACAGAUCUAAACUACAACCUAUAGCUUUAAGCUGUGUACUGAAUAUUGGUGCUUGUAAACUGAAGAUGUCGAAUUGGCAGGGAGCGACUGACAGUUGUCUGGAGGCUCUUGAAAUAGACCCAUCAAAUACCAAAGCUCUAUACCGCAAAGCUCAAGGAUGGCAGGGAUUAAAAGAAUAUGAUCAAGCAUUGGCUGAUCUUAAAAAAGCUCAGGAGAUAGCACCAGAAGAUAAAGCUAUCCAGGCAGAAUUACUGAAAGUCAAACAGAAGACAAAGGCACAGAAAGACAAAGAGAAGGCAGUAUAUGCGAAAAUGUUUGCUUAAUAAGGAUUAUUUUGUUUAAAUAUAACAUGUUAACUGUGUAAAGGUAAUAAGGAAAUGUAAGGGGUUUUGUCUGUUCAUAUGACCCUAAUGUGUUUCCUUUGACAGCUCAGUUCCCUGUUGUUUACAGUUGAGGA